UUAAGCGACUAAGCGUACACGGUGGAUGCCCUGGCAGUCAGAGGCGAUGAAGGACGUGCUAAUCUGCGAAAAGCGUCGGUAAGGUGAUAUGAACCGUUACAGCCGGCGAUGUCCGAAUGGGGAAACCCAGUGCAAUUCGUUGCACUAUCGUUAACUGAAUACAUAGGUUAACGAGGCGAACCGGGGGAACUGAAACAUCUAAGUACCCCGAGGAAAAGAAAUCAACCGAGAUUCCCCCAGUAGCGGCGAGCGAACGGGGAGCAGCCCAGAGUCUGAAUCAGCUUGUGUGUUAGUGGAACGGUCUGGAAAGUCCGACGGUACAGGGUGAUAGUCCCGUACACCAAAAUGCACAGGUUGUGAACUCGAAGAGUAGGGCGGGACACGUGGUAUCCUGUCUGAAUAUGGGGGGACCAUCCUCCAAGGCUAAAUACUCCUGACUGACCGAUAGUGAACCAGUACCGUGAGGGAAAGGCGAAAAGAACCCCGGCGAGGGGAGUGAAAAAGAACCUGAAACCGUGUACGUACAAGCAGUGGGAGCACCUUCGGGUGUGACUGCGUACCUUUUGUAUAAUGGGUCAGCGACUUAUAUUCUGUAGCAAGGUUAACCGUAUAGGGGAGCCGCAGGGAAACCGAGUCUUAACUGGGCGUUAAGUUGCAGGGUAUAGACCCGAAACCCGGUGAUCUAGCCAUGGGCAGGUUGAAGGUUGGGUAACACUAACUGGAGGACCGAACCGACUAAUGUUGAAAAAUUAGCGGAUGACUUGUGGCUGGGGGUGAAAGGCCAAUCAAACCGGGAGAUAGCUGGUUCUCCCCGAAAGCUAUUUAGGUAGCGCCUCGUGAAUUCAUCUUCGGGGGUAGAGCACUGUUUCGGCUAGGGGGUCAUCCCGACUUACCAACCCGAUGCAAACUACGAAUACCGAAGAAUGUUAUCACGGGAGACACACGGCGGGUGCUAACGUCCGUCGUGAAGAGGGAAACAACCCAGACCGCCAGCUAAGGUCCCAAAGUCAUGGUUAAGUGGGAAACGAUGUGGGAAGGCACAGACAGCCAGGAUGUUGGCUUAGAAGCAGCCAUCAUUUAAAGAAAGCGUAAUAGCUCACUGGUCGAGUCGGCCUGCGCGGAAGAUGUAACGGGGCUAAACCAUGCACCGAAGCUGCGGCAGCGACACUAUGUGUUGUUGGGUAGGGGAGCGUUCUGUAAGCCUGCGAAGGUGUGCUGUGAGGCAUGCUGGAGGUAUCAGAAGUGCGAAUGCUGACAUAAGUAACGAUAAAGCGGGUGAAAAGCCCGCUCGCCGGAAGACCAAGGGUUCCUGUCCAACGUUAAUCGGGGCAGGGUGAGUCGACCCCUAAGGCGAGGCCGAAAGGCGUAGUCGAUGGGAAACAGGUUAAUAUUCCUGUACUUGGUGUUACUGCGAAGGGGGGACGGAGAAGGCUAUGUUAGCCGGGCGACGGUUGUCCCGGUUUAAGCAUGUAGGCUGGUUAUCCAGGCAAAUCCGGAUAAUCAAGGCUGAGGUGUGAUGACGAGGCACUACGGUGCUGAAGUAACAAAUGCCCUGCUUCCAGGAAAAGCCUCUAAGCAUCAGGUAACAUCAAAUCGUACCCCAAACCGACACAGGUGGUCAGGUAGAGAAUACCAAGGCGCUUGAGAGAACUCGGGUGAAGGAACUAGGCAAAAUGGUGCCGUAACUUCGGGAGAAGGCACGCUGGUGUGUAGGUGAAGUCCCUGCGGAUGGAGCUGAGACCAGUCGAAGAUACCAGCUGGCUGCAACUGUUUAUUAAAAACACAGCACUGUGCAAACACGAAAGUGGACGUAUACGGUGUGACGCCUGCCCGGUGCCGGAAGGUUAAUUGAUGGGGUUAUCCGUAAGGAGAAGCUCUUGAUCGAAGCCCCGGUAAACGGCGGCCGUAACUAUAACGGUCCUAAGGUAGCGAAAUUCCUUGUCGGGUAAGUUCCGACCUGCACGAAUGGCGUAAUGAUGGCCAGGCUGUCUCCACCCGAGACUCAGUGAAAUUGAACUCGCUGUGAAGAUGCAGUGUACCCGCGGCAAGACGGAAAGACCCCGUGAACCUUUACUAUAGCUUGACACUGAACAUUGAGCCUUGAUGUGUAGGAUAGGUGGGAGGCUUUGAAGCGUGGACGCCAGUCUGCGUGGAGCCAACCUUGAAAUACCACCCUUUAAUGUUUGAUGUUCUAACGUUGGCCCCUUACCGGGGUUGCGGACAGUGUCUGGUGGGUAGUUUGACUGGGGCGGUCUCCUCCCAAAGCGUAACGGAGGAGCACGAAGGUUAGCUAAUCCUGGUCGGACAUCAGGAGGUUAGUGCAAUGGCAUAAGCUAGCUUGACUGCGAGCGUGACGGCGCGAGCAGGUGCGAAAGCAGGUCAUAGUGAUCCGGUGGUUCUGAAUGGAAGGGCCAUCGCUCAACGGAUAAAAGGUACUCCGGGGAUAACAGGCUGAUACCGCCCAAGAGUUCAUAUCGACGGCGGUGUUUGGCACCUCGAUGUCGGCUCAUCACAUCCUGGGGCUGAAGUAGGUCCCAAGGGUAUGGCUGUUCGCCAUUUAAAGUGGUACGCGAGCUGGGUUUAGAACGUCGUGAGACAGUUCGGUCCCUAUCUGCCGUGGGCGCUGGAGAAUUGAGGGGGGCUGCUCCUAGUACGAGAGGACCGGAGUGGACGCAUCACUGGUGUUCGGGUUGUCAUGCCAAUGGCACUGCCCGGUAGCUAAAUGCGGAAGAGAUAAGUGCUGAAAGCAUCUAAGCACGAAACUUGCCCCGAGAUGAGUUCUCCCUGAGACUUUAAGUCUCCUGAAGGAACGUUAAAGACGAUGACGUUGAUAGGCCGGGUGUGUAAGCGCAGCGAUGCGUUGAGCUAACCGGUACUAAUGAACCGUGAGGCUUAACCUU
rnacentral:rRNA from 1 species